rnacentral:rRNA from 1 species
GACGGAGGGUGCAAACGUUGUUCGGAAUUACUGGGCGUAAAGCGUGUGUAGGCGGUCCACUAAGUCGGGUGUGAAAGCCCUGGGCUCAACCCAGGAAGUGCACUCGAAACUGGCGGGCUAGAGUAUCGGAGAGGUUGGUGGAAUUCUCGGUGUAGAGGUGAAAUUCGUAGAUAUCGAGAGGAACACCGGUGGCGAAGGCGGCCAACUGGACGAAUACUGACGCUGAGACACGAAAGCGUGGGGAGCAAACAGG